UACGUAGGGUGCGAGCGUUAAUCGGAAUUACUGGGCGUAAAGCGUGCGCAGGCGGUGAUGUAAGACCGAUGUGAAAUCCCCGGGCUUAACCUGGGAACUGCAUUGGUGACUGCAUCGCUCGAGUAUGGCAGAGGGGGGUAGAAUUCCACGUGUAGCAGUGAAAUGCGUAGAGAUGUGGAGGAAUACCGAUGGCGAAGGCAGCCCCCUGGGUCAAUACUGACGCUCAUGCACGAAAGCGUGGGGAGCAAACGGG
rnacentral:rRNA from 1 species